CUCUUAUCAAGAGCGGCGGAGGGAUAGGCCCUGCGAUGCCCAGCAACCGGUGAGUGACGAACUCACAAUGGUGCUAAUUCCUACAGAUUUUUAAUCGGAUCUGACAGAUAAGGG
rnacentral:ncRNA from 2 species